rnacentral:rRNA from 1 species
UACGAGGGGGCGAGCGUUGUUCGGAAUUAUUGGGACGUAAGGCGCGUAGGCGGUCGGAUAAGUCUUGUGUGAAAUCUUCGGGCUCAACUCGAAGUCUGCACAGGAACUAUCUGGCUUGAGUGUGGGAGAGGUGAGUGGAAUUCCUGGUGUAGCGGUGAAAUGCGUAGAUAUCAGGAGGAACACCUGUGGCGAAAGCGGCUCACUGACCACAACUGACGCUGAGGCGCGAAAGCUAGGGGAGCAAACAGG